AGGCUUUCGGAUUAAGCAUGGGGUGGGAUUUCGUCUUCGGUACAAUGGCUCCAGUUCUGGUCUCAGUUGGAACCAUAAGAGAAUAGAGAAAGAGUACAGGAUGGGAAGACGUGGAAGAAAGCUGGGGUAUCACAGAGAAACAGAAAAGACCCCAAAGAGUCCAUGAAAGAAAAGUGAAUGGGGCGUUGGUUUGGUGCCAGAGCUCAUGGUUUGGCAACUCAAAGCUGAGGGCAGCAGCAGACCCCAGAAGAAGCACAAGGAAGCAGAAUACAGCAACAAGUGAGGAGCCAGGAAUGGCAACGAGCACAGGUCAUUCCCAGGCUCCCUGGUGCCUACAAAGGCUGGAUGACAGAGAAGAGAGGAGUCUGCAAAAAGAAGUGGGCAUUUACCUGGAGACCCCUGGGGCUCUGACCACUUUGGGGGUCUGUGGAGAGGAUGUAGGGAGGAGCUUUGGGAACUCUGGCCUCUCCCCAGCCUGGCUGACUCUAUGCACUUGUUAUGCGUCAUCUUCUCCGAGGCGUGUGGACACUUUCUGCCUCUCUCCCUUCACCACCCCCUCUCCUGUGGGUCUGGGUCCACAGCCCGAGAAUGGUCAUCGGCAGUGAUCUUGAUGGUCAUUUCAUCCAACUUCCCUCCCAGGGCGAGAGUGCCCUCGCCAGCCCCGCUGCCAGCCAGCCAGUGACGCUGGAGCUGCCAGGGCUGGGCACUCAUCAGCACCUAGGCGAGGGACCACCACAGGCCCAGACCUUCCCUUCAUCCCAGUGCCCUCAGCUGUUGCCGUCAAGGUGCCCAGGCCGGCAGCUACACGCUCUUGACAAACACCAGCCAAAUGUCACCAUCACAGCCACACUUUAAAAACACACACACACAACACUACACAGUCUUCUGGAAAAACUCAAAUCAAAUAAAAUGAAGUCAGUAACGACG